rnacentral:rRNA from 1 species
ACUCCUACGGGAGGCAGCAGUGGGGAAUAGUUGCACAAUGGGCGCAAGCCUGAUGCAGCCAUGCCGCGUGUAUGAAGAAGGCCUUUCGGGUUGUAAAGUACUUUCAGCAGUGAGGAAGGUGGGUAUGUUAAUAGCAUACUCAUUUGACGUUAGCUGCAGAAGAAGCACCGGCUAACUCCGUGCCAGCAGCCGCGGUAAUACGGAGGGUGCGAGCGUUAAUCGGAAUUACUGGGCGUAAAAGCGCAUGCAGGUGGUUUGUUAAGUCAGAUGUGAAAGCCCGGGGCUCAACCUCGGAAUUGCAUUUGAAACUGGCAAACUAGAGUACUGUAGAGGGGGUAGAAUUUCAGGUGUAGCGGUGAAAUGCGUAGAGAUCUGAAGGAAUACCGGUGGCGAAGGCGGCCCCCUGGACAGAUACUGACACUCAGAUGCGAAAGCGUGGGGAGCAAACAGGAUUAGAUACCCUGGUAG